rnacentral:tRNA from 1 species
GGGGGGAUUCCCGAGCGGUCAAAGGGGACGGGCUGUAAACCCGUUGGUGUAACCUUCGGAGGUUCGAAUCCUCCUCCCCCCA